UACGAAGGGGGCUAGCGUUGCUCGGAAUCACUGGGCGUAAAGGGUGCGUAGGCGGGUCUUUAAGUCAAGGGGGAAAUCCUGGAGCUCAACUCCAGAACUGCCUUUGAUACUGAAGAUCUUGAGUUCGGGAGAGGUGAGUGGAACUGCGAGUGUAGAGGUGAAAUUCGUAGAUAUUCGCAAGAACACCAGUGGCGAAGGCGGCUCACUGGCCCGAUACUGACGCUGAGGCACGAAAGCGUGGGGAGCAAACAGG
rnacentral:rRNA from 1 species